rnacentral:rRNA from 1 species
UACGAGGGGGGCGAGCGUUGUUCGGAUUUAUUGGGCGUAAAGAGCGUGUAGGCGGCCUGGUAGGUCUGCUGUGAAAACUCGAGGCUCAACCUCGAGCUGUCGGCGGAAACCACUUGGCUAGAGUCCGGAAGAGGAGAGUGGAAUUCCUGGUGUAGCGGUGAAAUGCGCAGAUAUCAGGAAGAACACCUAUGGCGAAGGCAACUCUCUGGGACGGUACUGACGCUGAGACGCGAAAGCGUGGGGAGCGAACAGG